rnacentral:rRNA from 1 species
UACAGAGGGGGCAAGCGUUGUUCGGAAUUACUGGGCGUAAAGGGCGCGUAGGCGGCCUGUUAAGUCGAACGUGAAAUCCCCAGGCUUAACCUGGGAACUGCAUCCGAUACUGGAUGGCUUGAAUUCGGGAGAGGGAUGCAGAAUUCCAGGUGUAGCGGUGAAAUGCGUAGAUAUCUGGAGGAAUACCGGUGGCGAAGGCGGCAUCCUGGACCGAGAUUGACGCUGAUGAGCGAAAGCUAGGGGAGCAAACGGGG